UACAGAUGAAAGUUCAGCCCACUCACUGACACCAGUGACACAGUAUUGACCAGAUCUCCUGGAAGUGCCUCCUGACGCAGACCCAGUUGUUGGGUAGCCAGCCACCCAUGCACGUUGACACAGCCAGCAGCGAGCACCCAGGGGGAUGGACCCAGGAGUGGAGGACGGCCCAAUAGGAUGAAAAUUCAUCCCACUCACUGUUGACACCAAUGAGGGAACAAGAGAGGCUAGGCAACCCCAUCUUUUGACAACGGUCACCACCAG